UCAGACAGUGGAAAUGCAGGGG
rnacentral:piRNA from 1 species